GAUGAACGCUAGCUACAGGCUUAACACAUGCAAGUCGAGGGGAAACGAUAGAGAAAGCUUGCUUUUUCUAGGCGUCGACCGGCGCACGGGUGAGUAACGCGUAUCCAACCUGCCCAUCACUUGGGGAUAACCUUGCGAAAGUAAGACUAAUACCCAAUGACGUCUCUAGAAGACAUCUGAAAGAGAUUAAAGAUUUAUCGGUGAUGGAUGGGGAUGCGUCUGAUUAGCUUGUUGGCGGGGUAACGGCCCACCAAGGCGACGAUCAGUAGGGGUUCUGAGAGGAAGGUCCCCCACAUUGGAACUGAGACACGGUCCAAACUCCUACGGGAGGCAGCAGUGAGGAAUAUUGGUCAAUGGGCGAGAGCCUGAACCAGCCAAGUAGCGUGCAGGAUGACGGCCCUAUGGGUUGUAAACUGCUUUUAUAAGGGAAUAAAGUGAGUCUCGUGAGACUUUUUGCAUGUACCUUAUGAAUAAGGACCGGCUAAUUCCGUGCCAGCAGCCGCGGUAAUACGGAAGGUCCGGGCGUUAUCCGGAUUUAUUGGGUUUAAAGGGAGCGUAGGCCGGAGAUUAAGCGUGUUGUGAAAUGUAGACGCUCAACGUCUGCACUGCAGCGCGAACUGGUUUCCUUGAGUACGCACAAAGUGGGCGGAAUUCGUGGUGUAGCGGUGAAAUGCUUAGAUAUCACGAAGAACUCCGAUUGCGAAGGCAGCUCACUGGAGCGCAACUGACGCUGAAGCUCGAAAGUGCGGGUAUCGAACAGGAUUAGAUACCCUGGUAGUCCGCACGGUAAACGAUGGAUGCCCGCUGUUGGUCUGAAUAGGUCAGCGGCCAAGCGAAAGCAUUAAGCAUCCCACCUGGGGAGUACGCCGGCAACGGUGAAACUCAAAGGAAUUGACG
rnacentral:rRNA from 1 species